rnacentral:rRNA from 2 species
UAGAGUUUGAUCAUGGCUCAGAUUGAACGCUGGCGGCAGGCCUAACACAUGCAAGUCGAGCGGAAACGAUGGAAGCUUGCUUCCAGGCGUCGAGCGGCGGACGGGUGAGUAAUGCAUGGGAAUCUGCCCGAUAGUGGGGGAUAACCUGGGGAAACCCAGGCUAAUACCGCAUACGUCCUACGGGAGAAAGCAGGGGAUCUUCGGACCUUGCGCUAUCGGAUGAGCCCAUGUCGGAUUAGCUUGUUGGUGAGGUAAUGGCUCACCAAGGCGACGAUCCGUAGCUGGUCUGAGAGGAUGAUCAGCCACAUCGGGACUGAGACACGGCCCGAACUCCUACGGGAGGCAGCAGUGGGGAAUAUUGGACAAUGGGCGAAAGCCUGAUCCAGCCAUGCCGCGUGUGUGAAGAAGGCCCUCGGGUUGUAAAGCACUUUCAGUGGGGAAGAAAGCCUUGGGAUUAAUACUCCCGAGGAAGGACAUCACCCACAGAGAGCCG